CUGAGUGGCGAACGGGUGAGUAAUACAUCGGAACGUACCUUGUAGUGGGGGAUAGCUCGGCGAAAGCCGGAUUAAUACCGCAUACGCUCUGAGGAGGAAAGCGGGGGACCUUCGGGCCUCGCGCUACAAGAGCGGCCGAUGUCAGAUUAGCUAGUUGGUGGGGUAAAAGCUCACCAAGGCGACGAUCUGUAGCUGGUCUGAGAGGACGACCAGCCACACUGGGACUGAGACACGGCCCAGACUCCUACGGGAGGCAGCAGUGGGGAAUUUUGGACAAUGGGCGAAAGCCUGAUCCAGCAAUGCCGCGUGUGUGAAGAAGGCCUUCGGGUUGUAAAGCACUUUUGUCCGGAAAGAAAUCCUCUGGGUUAAUACCUCGGGGGGAUGACGGUACCGGAAGAAUAAGCACCGGCUAACUACGUGCCAGCAGCCGCGGUAAUACGUAGGGUGCAAGCGUUAAUCGGAAUUACUGGGCGUAAAGCGUGCGCAGGCGGUUUUGUAAGACGGAUGUGAAAUCCCCGGGCUUAACCUGGGAACUGCAUUCGUGACUGCAAGGCUAGAGUAUGGCAGAGGGGGGUAGAAUUCCACGUGUAGCAGUGAAAUGCGUAGAGAUGUGGAGGAAUACCGAUGGCGAAGGCAGCCCCCUGGGCCAAUACUGACGCUCAUGCACG
rnacentral:rRNA from 1 species